rnacentral:rRNA from 1 species
UACAGAGGGUGCAAGCGUUGUUCGGAAUUAUUGGGCGUAAAGGGCGCGUAGGCGGUGCUGUAAGCUGUAGUGAAAUCUCUGGGCUCAACUCAGAGUCUGCUAUAGAAACUGCAGUGCUGGAGUGUGGGAGAGGUGAGUGGAAUUCCCGGUGUAGCGGUGAAAUGCGUAGAUAUCGGGAGACACCUGUGGCGAAAGCGGCUCACUGGACCACAACUGACGCUGAGGCGCGAAAGCUAGGGGAGCAA